AGGCGCCUGCGCUAAACCGGCUUCUCGGCGCCAUUUUGUCUGAGCGGCGGUGGUCGCAGCUCUAUCGCAUUUUACGUUUCUGGCGAGACGAGAGCCGACUGUGUAUCCUGUAGAUUCAUUUUAGUGCGGCACCUAUCCACGGUUCACUCCAGGACAGCACCUUGUGAAGGUCGGAGGAGUCGCGAACCUGUCAAAAGGUCGGUUGGAAGCUGUGGCUGUCCGAGUGACUAGGGGAUGGCGCAGCUUUAGCGGCACCGGCACCGGAAGUGGACGGGCCGCGCGGCGGCCAUGGCAAAGUGGUCUGAAGAAAACCAAAAUCUCUCAGUGACAUAUCCUAGAGAAUUACUGAGAAUAAACCUCAUUUUGUGGGAAAAUGAAGGAAGAUGUUCCAGUUUUAAAAGACCUGGAUCUACUGUUGAAAAUUCUGUUUCUGGUCCCUUUAUGAAUGAUGGAAAUAGAAGCAAAUGGAUAGUCUUAAUCAGAUAAGUGCUUUAAUAGUCUAAAUAUAUUUUUUAUAAUCCCUAACCUAAAACUUGAUUCUUUAAAACAUUUUUGAUUUCUCUUUUCAGGUGCCCAUAUCAAGAGAGUUUACAGUAAAUAAGGUACUGGAUCUUUUCUGAAAAUAAAUUUAUAAUCUUAUCAAAGUAAAAUGUACCAGCUUUUUUCCCCCCACAAAGGCUAAUCAAUAUUUCAUUGGUGCAAUUACAGAGUGCCUCCCACAGUUGAACCUAGAUUAUUAAUUUUAUAUAUAAUAUGUAUGAAAGUCUCAUAGCUGAAAUAGGUAUAUCUGUUUAUACAGUUUUCCAGUUAUCUAUGUUACAGUAUCUAUAGUUUUUAGGUGGCUUCUCUCUUCAAAGUUAGAAAUUUCUUUAGAACCAGUGUCUAUUCUUUUAAAGGGCUUUUUUUAGCUAUACUGAUGUGAAUUUUUUGUUUCAAGGAACCUCUCUAUGCCCAUCAUGGGGCUUGAACUCCCCACCACCCCUGAGAUCCAGAGUCACAUGCUCUACCACCUGACCCCAGGUGCCCCUAUACUGAUGUGAAUUCACAGCACAAUAGAAUAAAAUGUAGCAGGUAGUUUUAUUUUAUAUAAAAGCUGUGGUAAUGGUAAAUAAUCUUGACUUGUUUGUAUAGUAGUUAGCUACUCAUGUCUAAUGAUUUGCUAUUUGAACUACAGAGAUGUUCAAAGUCCAGCAGUAUCCUGCUGCUAAACUCCAAUGAGUACAUGACCUUCUUAGGAAAGCAUGACAGUUGAGAGUGAUACUGGCAUGAACCCAGUAAAGGGUGUGUAGACUUGGCAUACUUGGCCUGAGUUACAAACUGUUUCUUCCUGCUUUGAGUACUGUUCAGGUUAUGACAGUGGUUCUUACAGGCCUCAAUACCAAUUGUAGUCUAACUUCUUAUUUAGCUAAAUCUGGGUACUUUAGUUGAACUUUACAGAUCAAGAAAUUUUUGAAGUGACAGAAUAGGGACUUUGUGGCUCCUUAAACCCACUCCUCACCGCAAUAAAAGGGAAAAAAAAUUCACUUUUGAGCCUAAAACCUUUCUUAUGUGUCACACUUCAAGGUUAACAGUGGCUGCUGGCCAACCGUCAUUUUACUAAAUGUAAAACAGAGUAGCGGCAUCAAAUAAUACCUACCGAGUUGGUAGGGACUUACUUCACAAAAGCCCAGCGAUAAAUGAUCUUUAGAUUCUAGGCGAGUGAUGAAAUGGAACUCUGAAUGAAUG